AGGAUUAAGCUUAUUGGCAAGCCACCAGAGCACGAUAUUCAUAGUCCCUUAUAAUAGCUGAUUCAUCAGCACUCAUUUUUGGUAUCAAUAUUAUCACACGAAUCUAAAAGUCUUAAUGAAGCCAGAACGCUGUCAACCUUAUGAACAUCUACAGUAGGACACGAAGCUGCAGCGAGAUUGCUUGGACCUAUUGAGCAUAUCAUGUCAAGGUUCUCAUUGGCACCUUGACUUUCCAGGAUCUUUUCAACAUCUGAAAUGCAGUGACUGGUAUGUGUUUCAUUUAAUGCAAGCAUUCCAGUAUGGUUGCUUGACUGUCCAAGGAGAACUACAAGGCUGGCCUCAUAUUAAGGACAACAAACCACAUUUGCAAGAUAUGGUGCUAGGGAAGACCAGCAAUCCGUUGCUAUCACACUUGAUAUACUUUCAGCUGAAAAAAAGUUCAACAUACAACAUCCUGCUAAAUCAACACACAAUCAAUCGGCAAUUAAUAACAACCUCUUAUGUAGGUGAACAUGAAGAUUAAAGCAUCUUCAAGAUGUAGAAUUUUUUUUUGGAUGAAUAAAUGUCAUCAAAACACAGCCAUUCUUCUGCCCUUCCAUCUUUUUACAUCAAAUUCUUCAUCAAUCGGAAGUCUUGAUACAACCAGUUCAGAUGCAACUCAAUUACAGAACUUUAAUGUUUUAUGUAAAAAUGUACAAGCCUAAGAUAUUGCUAAUAA